rnacentral:lncRNA from 1 species
GUGUGGUGUCGUGGAGAGGAGGAGACAGGUCACUGCAUCCUCAGCUCUGAAAGGAAAUUCAGAUUCUCAAGGUUCCUUUGGCUUAAACAUACGUGAUUUGUAUUCAAGAUAAACUAAAAAAGAAGAUUCAUAGUAUGUCUUGAAAAUUAUACCUGGUCUGGGAAGAGAGCUCAGCAAGUAUUCCACUUUCUGUGUGCAAUGACACUAUCAAGAGGUAUGUCCUUGUUGGAACAGUGUGACCUUGUUGGAGGAAGUGUGUCACUGUGGGGGUGGCCUUCAAGAUCCUAUGCUCAAGUUCCACACAGUGCAGAAGAGACAUUCUCCUUCUGGUUGCCUUCAGAUCAAUGUGCAAAAUUCCCAGCUCCUUCUCCAGCAAUACAUCUGCCUGGAUGCUACCAUGCUUCCUGCC